rnacentral:rRNA from 1 species
CAGUAGCCGCGGGAAUACGUAGGUGGCAAGCGUUGUCCGGAAUUAUUGGGCGUAAAGGGCUCGCAGGCGGUUUCUUAAGUCUGAUGUGAAAGCCCCCGGCUCAACCGGGGAGGGUCAUUGGAAACUGGGAAACUUGAGUGCAGAAGAGGAGAGUGGAAUUCCACGUGCAGCGGUGAAAUGCGUAGAGAUGUGGAGGAACACCAGUGGCGAAGGCGACUCUCUGGUCUGUAACUGACGCUGAUGCACGAAAGCUAGGGGAGCAAACAGGAUUAGAUACCCCUGUAGUCCCUGUCUCUUAUAC